GCUAAACGCGAAGAACCUUACCCACCUUUGACAUGUACGGAAUCCUUUAGAGAUAGAGGAGUGCUCGAAAGAGAGCCGUAACACAGGUGCUGCAUGGCUGUCGUCAGCUCGUGUCGUGAGAUGUUGGGUUAAGUCCCGCAACGAGCGCAACCCUUGCCAUCAGUUGCUACGAAAGGGCACUCUGAUGGGACUGCCGGUGACAAACCGGAGGAAGGUGGGGAUGACGUCAAGUCCUCAUGGCCCUUAUAGGUGGGGCUACACACGUCAUACAAUGGCCGGUACAAAGGGCAGCGAAGCCGCGAGGUGAAGCCAAUCCCAUAAAGCCGGUCGUAGCCCGGAUCGCAGUCUGCAACUCGACUGCGUGAAGUCGGAAUCGCUAGUAAUCGUGGAUCAGCAUGUCACGGUGAAUACGUUCCCGGGUCUUGUACACACCG
rnacentral:rRNA from 1 species